ACUCAAAGGAAUUGACGGGGGCCCGCACAAGCGGUGGAGCAUGUGGUUUAAUUCGACGCAACGCGAAGAACCUUACCAGGCCUUGACAUGAUACUGAGUAUGUAAGAGAUUACAUAGACCCUUCGGGGACGGUACCACAGGUGGUGCAUGGUUGUCGUCAGCUCGUGUCGUGAGAUGUUGGGUUAAGUCCCGCAACGAGCGCAACCCUUGUCGUUAGUUGCCAGCAAGCAAGAUGGGCACUCUAAUGAGACUGCCGGUGACAAGCCGGAGGAAGGUGGGGACGACGUCAAAUCAUCAUGCCCUUUAUGGCCUGGGCUACACACGUGCUACAAUGGCCUGUACAGAGGGAAGCGAAGGGGCGACCCGGAGCGAAUCCCAGAAAACAGGUCUCAGUUCGGAUUGCAGGCUGCAACUCGCCUGCAUGAAGUCGGAAUCGCUAGUAAUCGCAGAUCAGCAUGCUGCGGUGAAUACGUUCCCGGGCCUUGUACACACCGCCCGU
rnacentral:rRNA from 1 species